rnacentral:rRNA from 1 species
AUGGCUGUGGCUGCGGCCGCCGAGGGGACGACCAGGCGGAGGAUCCUCGACUACCUCAACGACGGCGAGGAGUUCGGGGUCGAGGGGCCCUCGUCGACGCCGAGGGCGCUGGCCGCGGCCAGGUCGCUGCUGCCCAGGUUCCGCUGGGCGCGGCUCGCCAGGCUCGGCGGCAAGGGCCGCGCCGACGACGGCAAAGCGCGGCCGCCGAAGACGGUCGCCGAGGAGGAGCUCGUCGUCGCGGCGGAGGAGGAGGGCGAGCUCAGCAUCAGGGACGCCUCGGCCGCCUCUGCCUCGUCAGGUACGUCGAUUCCAGCGGCAUGCGCGGCGGCACCCGGUGACGGUGGCGGCGCCGACACGACGAGGCCGUCGGGCCUGGGCGUCGGGCUGAGCCUGGUGUUCCUGCUGGCCAAGACGUCCGACGAGUUCAACAAGAUGGCCAGGGUGCGGGCCGAGAUGGAGGCGCUGAUCAGGGACUUCAAAGGCCAGCAGGCCAUGGCAACGACCAACAACACCGGCGGCGACGACGAACCCCGCAACCCCGAGUCCGCCGCGUCGAGCUGCCUCACGGACGGGAACGAGCCGCAGGCUGCGACCGCGCGCUGCGAGGACCAUCGUCGCCGUCAUCACCGGCACCGGGUCGCCUCCUCCUCCGGCGCGGAGAUGGAGGCGGCGAGCCGCAGGAGGAUGGACGUGCUGGAGGAGGAGUUCCACGCCGAGCUCGAGCGCGUUCGCGCCGGCUACGGCGCGGACACGCCGCCGUUUUCGGCGGGAGAGGAGCGCGACGAGGGCGGAGCAGAGCCGUCGGACGACGACGAUGACAUUGCGGAUUGCCGGCAGGGAUUCGAGAGCGACCUCGGCGACGACGACGACGACGACCGUGAUAACCACGAAGACGACGAGGAGGAGGAGGACGACGAUGCUGACCGGUACCACGGCGUCUCGGCCAUCGAGCUGGAGAGGAGGCUGCACGAGCUGCUCCACCAGAGGAACCAGGAGCGGAUCGAGGAGCUGGAGGCGGCGCUGCGGCGCGCCGAGAGGCGGCUCUUCGACAAGGAGAUGGAGGCGUCCCUCUGGAAGGACACCGCCAAGAUGGCCUUCCGCCACGACCACGACGACUCGCCGUGA